GAUGAAGAACGCAGCGAAAUGCGAUAAGUAAUGUGAAUUGCAGAAUUCAGUGAAUCAUCGAAUCUUUGAACGCACCUUGCGCCCUUUGGCCAUUCCGAAGGGCAUGCCUGUUUGAGUAUCAUGAACACCUCAACUCUUCAUGGUUUUCCAUGAUGAGCUUGGACUUUGGGGGUCUUGCUGGCCUGUGGGUCGGCUCCUCUCAAAUGAAUCAGCUUGCCGGUUUUUGGUGGGCAUCACAUGUGUGAUAACUAUCUACGCUUGUGGUUUUCCACCAGGGUAACCUUCAGCAGUGGAGGUUCACUGGAGCUUACAAAUGUCUCUCCUCUGUGAGGACAGCCCUUUGAAUGUUUGAUCUCAAAUCAGGUAGGACUACCCGCUGAACUUAAGCAUAUCAAUAAGCGGAGGA
rnacentral:misc_RNA from 1 species